CCUACGGGUGGCAGCAGUGGGGGAUAUUGCACAAUGGGGGGAACCCUGAUGCAGCGACGCCGCGUGGGUGAAGAAGGGCCUCGGCGCGUAAAGCCCUGUCAGCAGGGAAGAAAAUGACGGUACCUGAAGAAGAAGCCCCGGCCAAAUACGUGCCAGCAGCCGCGGGAAUACGUAGGGGGCAAGCCUUAUCCGGAUUGACGGGGUGUAAAGGCGGCGGAGGCGGCGUGGCAAGCCAGGAGUGAAAGCCCGGGGCCCAACCCCGGGACUGCUCUUGGAACUGCGUGGCGGGAGUGCAGGAGGGGCAAGCGGAAUUCCUGGUGUAGCGGUGAAAUGCGUAGAUAUCAGGAGGAACACCGGUGGCGAAGGCGGCCUGCUGGACUGCAACUGACGUUGAGGCCCGAAAGCGUGGGGAGCAAACAGGAUUAGAUACCCCUGUAGUC
rnacentral:rRNA from 1 species